CUUUUUAAGUCUAUGAUACACCAUUGUAUAUACAUACUAUAUUUUGUUUAUUCAUCUGUCAGUGGACAUUUGUGUUGCUUCUACAUUUUGGCUGUUGUUAAUACGCUGCUGUGAAUGUGGGUGUACAACUGUGUCUUUGAGAUCUUGUUUUCAGUUCUUUUGAGAUAUAUACCCAUAAGUGGAAUUGCUGGAUCUUAUGGUAAUUCUAUUUUUAAUAUUUUGUUGUGUUUGUGUUUUUUGUCUUAGAUUUUUUUCUUAAUCAAGUUUUUCCAGAAGAGAGUAGCUUUAGGAAGAGAAUAAACACAUACUUUUAAGGUAUUAUCUCAGACUUUAGGCGCAUUAUGAUCAUAUCAGUAGCACCCAUGUACUGAAUAAGUGAACUCAAAGAAAAGUUAUGUUGGGCAACUACCUCAAAGUUUUGUUAUCUCUGCUUGCAAUUUUUGUUCAGUCAUUGCACAAGUGCUUGAGGGCUUACUGCAUGUGAGGCUCUGUAGACUAAGUAUUAAUGAACUUUCUUUUUUGUCCUUGCAGUAGCAGGUACAGCUUUGAUCUCAGUUUUCUGCCAAAUGAAUGGUUCUGUGUUUUGUGCUCAUUCGUUUACAGAGAUCCCUCUGAACCACCUUGGAACCAGAAGGUGUGUGGUCUGAGAACGAUAAAUGGGCUGCUCUCUGCCUCUCUCACAGCAGUUCUGCCCCUCCUUGGGACCACUCGUUUUCUGCAUUCCUGGCCCAUCUUCUAUAUAUCUCUGGUCCAGAUUCCAGAGGAAACCUGUUUGACUUGAAUAGAUGCCAUUGCCCUUAUUGGGCCUUGCCUCAGGAGUUCCUCUGUGUAUCUCUGGUCCAGAUUCCGGAGGAAACCUGUUUGACUUGAGUAGAUGCCAUUGCCCUUAUUGGGCCUUGCCUCAGGAGUUGCUGGUUAGCCUAUGAAGGGGUUCCCUUUGGGUUGAUGACAUUGCUCCCAUCCAGAAAGUGGCUACUUCUACCCUCCUACUCCCACCACUCUGCAUGCAGGAGCUGUUAUCAUCAAAAGGGAAUGUCCACUGUCUGCUCUGUACCAGAGAAGUGCUAGGCUUCAUAAAUAUUGGUAAUCGAUACCUGAAUGGGAUGAAAAUUGGCAGGUCCUGGGAUGGAUGGCCUGGUUCAUCUGCAUCAGAACUGGAAAAACAAAAUCACACCAAAUUGCAGACUUUUUUGGAAGAGCGUGUUAGACAAGGUUUGUGGAUUGUUUGAUUUUUACCAAGAAAGAAAGCUUUCUCCUAAGAGGGUAAGAUUUCUACUUGAGUGAGCUCUAAGAGGAGUCCCAGUUUGCAAGAGAUAUUAUUACAGUUCUCAUCUGUGCGGACCAGAAAGUUUUCCAAAUUCAUGCAUUUCAGUUAUCUAACAGAUAUUUACUGAGCAUUUACCAUGUUCAGUAACCAGGGCCCUGGGAAUAUAAUAGGAGAAGGCAGAUGAGAUCCUUGCCUUCACCAAGCUUAUGUUUUUCUAUUUUAAGUAAAAUUUGCCAUGACAAAAUUUCUAUCAGCGGAAGAGCCAGUAACUCUUAUUGUAAUAGGUUUUACCCAGUUUUAGAAAAGGAAAGUAGCUAAACUCUUGGUUCCUUGGUGUGUGUUUUUGUUUGUUCAUUUCUAGUACUUGUCUAUGUCUUUGGGGUAAUUUUUGAUUUAGAAUUUUGUAGAAAUUACUCGGCACAGUGUAGUUGAGGUGAAUAUAGGCAAGAAGGCUUAGGAAGCCUACAACAAAGGAAUCUGACACCAACUUUUGAGAUUUAUUCAGUCCAGCCAAGAGAAUAUAUUUAUGGUCAAACUAGAUCUUGGAUUACAGCUCCAAAGACCCUUGGGCUGACAGAGCAGGUUCUCAUUUCUCAGCUCUUUCCCUUAUCACUUGCAGUGAACUCUGCCCCCAGGAGCAGAGUAUCCAGUUCUGUGUCCAAGCACUCUAUGAAUCUUUACCCUUGUUGAAGAAAUACUCAGAGACAGAAGCAUUUAGAAAAGGAAAAGUUUACCUGCAAAGAGAGCAAGAGAAUGACUGGCUUGCCUAAUAAAAAACCAUGAAAACAGACUAAUAGAAUGAUAUAGGAAGUUCUUAGUCUUACUGAAGCAAGGGAAAGUGACAUUUUGCUUCUACACCCUCCAGAAUUCAUAAGCUCCAGAAGGAAAGAGGACCCAAGGGAAAAACGUGAUUGCAAAAUGUGUUCUUGUCCUCUGCCCAAGUGAUUAACCUUUGCUCCAGUGGUUUUCAAACCUGGCUGCUGUUAGAAUCACCUGGCAGUGUUUAAAAAUGACUGAUGCCCAGCAUUUUAACUUAAAUACCAAUUUGGUCUGGAGUGGAGCCUGAGUAUGGAUAUUUAAAAAAGUAACUCCUCCUCCCCAAUCCCCCGUAAUUGUAAUGUGCAGCCAAGAUUGAGAACCACUGCUUUGAUCAGUGCACAAAACUGGAUCCUCUACUAAUGACCGUGGUUUUUUCUUAGGCUUACUUACAGAUUGAUUAAGUUAUGCCACUUUUGUAGAUCCUUGAAAUUCUGUGCACUUUCUUUCUUUCUUUUUUUUUUUUUU
rnacentral:lncRNA from 1 species